rnacentral:snRNA from 1 species
AUAAACCCAUGACAUCGGGUUCAGGGUGAUCAGCAAUGCUCUGACCCCAGGUGGAGGCUCGCCAUUGCACUCCGGCGUGUUGAAGCCUGUGACGGACUCUAAUCGGGUUCGCUCGGGUGUGUAGUUUUUGCCUAAC